UACGUAGGGGGCAAGCGUUGUCCGGAUUUAUUGGGCGUAAAGAGCUCGUAGGCGGUUUGUCGCGUCUGCUGUGAAAACUGGAGGCUCAACCUCCAGCCUGCAGUGGGUACGGGCAGACUAGAGUGCGGUAGGGGAGAUUGGAAUUCCUGGUGUAGCGGUGGAAUGCGCAGAUAUGCGGAGGAACACCGAUGGCGAAGGCAGGUCC
rnacentral:rRNA from 1 species